UUAAAUAGCCGCAGUAUUUUGACUGUGCGAAGGUAGCAUAAUCAUUUGUCUUUUAAUUGAAGGCUUGCAUGAAUGGUUUGAUGAGAGAAUUACUUUCUUUAUACUAAAUAUUGAAUUUAAUUUUUAGGUUAAAAAGCUUAAAUUAUUAAAAGGGACGAGAAGACCCUAUAGAAUUUUAUUUUUAUGUUUAUAUAAUUUUUUUGGGUGUUAAAUAUUUUAUAAAACUGUAAAAAUUUUGUUGGGGCGACAGUGAGAUUUAUAUAACUCUCAUAUAUUAUAAAAUUAUUGAUUAGUAUUGUUUAAAGAUCCUUUAAUAGGGAUAUAUAGAUUAAAUUACCUUAGGGAUAACAGCGUAAUUUUUUUGGAGAGUUCUUAUCAAUAAAAAAGUUUGCGACCUCGAUGUUGGAUUAAAAUUAGAUUUAAGUGCAGAAGCUUAAUUUCUAGGUCUGUUCGACCUUUAAAAUUUUACAUGAUCUGAGUUCAAACCG
rnacentral:rRNA from 1 species